ACCUUUCUCUCUCUCCUUCAGAAGUUCCUGCUGUUGACAAUGGAGCUUUUCCUAAGUAUGAUGUCACUGUUGCUGUCCAAAUAUCUUUGAUGUCAAAAACCCAGACCUGGGGGAUCAGCAGCGGGAGAUUACAAAACUCUCAAGAAACAAAGGGUUUCCUCCUGCUUCACAUGCCCUUCAGAACAAAGGCUGCAAGAACAAAGCAGCACACAGAACCUUCAGUCAGAAACAGAAACAGCCUCUACAAAUUUUCAAAGGAAGUUCUGUCCACAUUUCCUUCUGGCACUUCAAGAUUCUUGAUUUCAAAAGCUCACAUAUCUGAAACACAGUGCUGGAGCUGG